rnacentral:rRNA from 1 species
UACGAAGGGGGCUAGCGUUGUUCGGAAUUACUGGGCGUAAAGGGCGCGUAGGCGGUGUGUCAAGUCAGGCGUGAAAGCCCCGGGCUCAACCUGGGAACCGCGCUUGAGACUGGCACGCUAGAGUUCGGGAGAGGAUGGUGGAAUUCCCAGUGUAGAGGUGAAAUGCGCAGAUAUCGGGAAGAACACCCAUGGCGAAGGCAGCUCUCUGGGACGGUACUGACGCUGAGACGCGAAAGCGUGGGGAGCGAACAGG